rnacentral:lncRNA from 1 species
GGGUAAAGGAAAGGAAGAAAUAAAUUCUUUAGUACUUAUUUUCGAUUCAAACUACGUUGCUGUGUCAGAAAAAGGAUAGUUAUACUGAUUCAGUAUACUAUAAUGAUGCCCUUGGUACAAUAUUGAUGAUCUUACAAGGAUGAAAUAUUAGUGAUAAUCGCCUUUACCGAUCUCAACUUUUAUGAAAUCAAACCCCUUUGACUGUACAAAAAUGCGUGGAGUUGGGCAUGUCUGGAAGCACAGGAAAAUGUUCUUUCGCUGGUAUUAAUACCAGUAUUCAAUACUAGGUCAUUCAUAGCAUUACUAUGCCUUCCCUAUUCAUUGCUGGUUCGUUAUUCGUUAGUAACGGUUUAGCUCACGAUGAAUUUGGAAGCUAUUAGCCAAACGAAUAUUUUACAGAGAGCUAACAAGGAAUUCUAUUAAUAACUGGCCAGUUUGAUCCUUUGGAACAUCUCGAUGAACUUAGUAGAUUGUUUUAAGGGGGCCCUAAUCUAAUGAAUAUAGAUUGAACCUAUCAAAUUUUUACAGUACAAUGCUUGGCUAUUCAUAGCCUAGCUUUACCUUUUUUUUCAGGGUCAAUAUUAGCAAUGCAGUUCAUCCAAUGAUAAACCUAAUCCGAAUUAUAGAGCUAUGAUGCAUUCAAACCCGAACUUACAAAAUGUUGAAUUGAAUCGUACCAGUCUCUACUGGGGGUUAUUACUCAUUUUUGUACUUGCUAUUUUAUUUUAAAAUUAUUUCUUCAAUUAGGAAAACGAAAGAAGACAAAUAAGAAUUCUAGGCAUUCUCUUAGCCCAUUUGGAAGGAUCUCAUCUCAUAAUUAACCAUGAAUGUUUAUUCUGUAGCAUGGCCAUUUGAUGAAAUUGGAGGGAAGUAGAGUAAAUGAUCAAUACUGAUGGAAGGAUUCCUC